rnacentral:rRNA from 1 species
GAUGAACGCUGGCGGCGUGCCUAAUACAUGCAAGUCGAGCGAACAGACGAGGAGCUUGCUCCUCUGACGUUAGCGGCGGACGGGUGAGUAACACGUGGAUAACCUACCUAUAAGACUGGGAUAACUUCGGGAAACCGGAGCUAAUACCGGAUAACAUGUUGAACCGCAUGGUUCAACAGCGAAAGACGGUCUUGCUGUCACUUAUAGAUGGAUCCGCGCCGCAUUAGCUAGUUGGUAAGGUAACGGCUUACCAAGGCAACGAUGCGUAGCCGACCUGAGAGGGUGAUCGGCCACACUGGAACUGAGACACGGUCCAGACUCCUAAGGGAGGCAGCAGUAGGGAAUCUUCCGCAAUGGGCGAAAGCCUGACGGAGCAACGCCGCGUGAGUGAAGAAGGUCUUCGGAUCGUAAAACUCUGUUAUUAGGGAAGAACAAAUGUGUAAGUAACUAUGCACGUCUUGACGGUACCUAAUCAGAAAGCCACGGCUAACUACGUG